rnacentral:misc_RNA from 1 species
CACAAAUAUGAAGGCGGGCUGGAACCUCUAUCGGGUGUACAGCCUUGCUGAAUUAUUCACCCUUGUCUUUUGCGCUACUUCUUGUUCCUUGUGGGUUCGCCCACCACUAGGACAAACAUAAACCUUUUGUAAUUGCAAUCAGCGUCAGUAACAAAUUAAUAAUUA